AAAUAAAGAUAUGAUUAUGAAUUAUAUUAUUAUUUAUUAAAUUAGUCGAAAUUGAAAAAAUAUAUGUAUCAAUUAGAGCAUCUAAAAGUAUUAUCACGCGCAACGCGCAUGUUACCAGACUAGUUAUUGCUGUAAAAAGAAAGGCUGCAUUGGUAUCCAUUGGACCAUUAUCCAAAUAAAGGUUGUGUGAAAUCACGAAAAAGUAAUCUUUUAUAGCAUGCGGGCGAAACACAACUACUUGUGCUAGGCAUCGAUACUCGAUAGCCAAUAUGUGUGCAACAGCAUGCCCACACUUACGGUCCACAGUUUCAUCUUCACUCUCUUUAAAGUUUAAAGUUUAAACCCAUGUAUGGAUGUAAUAAUCUAUAUCAUUGUUUCAUAUUAUAGUGCCUAUAAAAGAAAAUUUCCAUAAUUUUGGCAGGGCUGACUUCAAAAAGAUUGCAUUGGAUAGCAAACCUUGUGCCAACCUAGGGAAGAAGGUGGGCUAGGUAAUUGGAAAACAAAGAUCAUGAAUGAAGCAAUGAUAGUCAAACAGUCUACUUCUUCUGUAUCAUGGGUAUGGAGAAGCAUUCUCAAAUACAGAGAAUCUGUGGCUGGUCAAGCACAAUGGAGGAUAGGGAAUGAGAAAGAUAUUCCUAUUCAUCAUCCUCUUUGGGUAUAGGUGGAACCAACAAAGCUCUCUAACAACCCAACAUCGUUAAGGUUGCUGACCUCAUAGAUGAGGACCAGAGAGCAUGGAAGCCAGCUCUUCUUGCAAAAAUUUACCCAAGGGAUUAAAAAAAUUAAAAAAAGGAGGUUCUGGACAUCCCUCUUAGCAAGUCUACCGUCGCAAAAGAUAAGCUAUUAUGGCUUUAUGCUCAAUCUGGAAGUUACAUGUUAAGCAAGGAUAUAAACUUUUGUAUAAGGAAGUGGAAGAUUGAAACCACAUUAAUAGGGCAAGUGAUCCAACACCUAGAGUUGUGGAUGUGGAUGACUAAAUUUCUGGUUCAAAAUAAAUCAAGCAAGUAAAAUAGUUUCACAAA